GUAACCUUGCCCUUAACUCUGGGAUAAGCCUGGGAAACUGGGUCUAAUACCGGAUAGGAGCGUCCACCGCAUGGUGGGUGUUGGAAAGAUUUAUCGGUUUUGGAUGGACUCGCGGCCUAUCAGCUUGUUGGUGAGGUAAUGGCUCACCAAGGCGACGACGGGUAGCCGGCCUGAGAGGGUGACCGGCCACACUGGGACUGAGACACGGCCCAGACUCCUACGGGAGGCAGCAGUGGGGAAUAUUGCACAAUGGGCGCAAGCCUGAUGCAGCGACGCCGCGUGAGGGAUGACGGCCUUCGGGUUGUAAACCUCUUUCAGUAGGGAAGAAGCGAAAGUGACGGUACCUGCAGAAGAAGCACCGGCUAACUACGUGCCAGCAGCCGCGGUAAUACGUAGGGUGCGAGCGUUAUCCGGAAUUAUUGGGCGUAAAGAGCUCGUAGGCGGUUUGUCGCGUCUGUCGUGAAAGUCCGGGGCUUAACCCCGGAUCUGCGGUGGGUACGGGCAGACUAGAGUGCAGUAGGGGAGACUGGAAUUCCUGGUGUAGCGGUGGAAUGCGCAGAUAUCAGGAGGAACACCGAUGGCGAAUGCAGGUCUCUGGGCUGUAACUGACGCUGAGGAGCGAAAGCAUGGGGAGCGAACAGGAUUAGAUACCCUGGUAGUCCAUGCCGUAACGUUGGGCACUAGGUGUGGGGACCAUUCCACGGUUUCCGCGCCGCAACUAACGCAUUAGGUGCCCCGUCUGGGAGUACGGCCGCAGGCUAAAACUCAAAGGAUUGACGGGGGCCCGCACAGCGCGGAGCAUGCGGAUUAAUUCGAUGCAACGCGAGAACCUUACCCAGGCUUGACAUGUUCUCGAUCGCCUAGAGAUUCGGUUUCCCCUUUGGGGCGGGUUCACAGGUGGUGCAUGGCUGUCGUCAGCUCGUGUCGUGAGAUGUGAGGUAAGUCCCGCACGAGCGCAUCCUUUCGUUCAUGUUGCCAGCUACGUCUGUUGGGGACUCAUGGAAAACUGCCGGAUCACUCCGGAGGAAGGUGAAGACGAACUUCAUCAUCUGGCCCCUUAAUGUUCUUUGCUGCUUCCAGCGCAUGCUCACAUGCCCGGUCACAAUGGCUUGCGAAUACUGUGUAAGUGAACCUAUUCCAAAAGCCGGUCCUCAAUCGCAGUUUGCGUCUGCAGC
rnacentral:rRNA from 1 species